GAACUAUUUCACCUCAUUAAAUAAAGGGGGGAGAGAGAGAGAGAAUAUCGACCUAUCAAGCAAACCUCAUACCACUGACAAACUGCAUGCUCACUAUUUACUGUAGCUGACUGGCUAAUGAUGAUUGUGAAUUAUGUACACAUUUACUUUGUACACAAUAUUCAAUGUUGUGGGAAAAUAACCUGUGGAGUGAUAAAAAAAAAAAUAUCACAGAUGUUUAUUUAGCACACUGUGUAAAAUAUUCUUCACCUCAAAACGACUUUCUGAGGACUGAAUUUCAUCGUUAAGACUUGGUACUGGACAAAAAGGCAUGACCGAUUGUCUACAUGUUAUAUAGCUGUAUAGUAUUACUUUUUUGUUGUUGUUAAAACAUUAACUAGAUCUAUCCAUGUGAAAUUAACCAGAGUUUUUUUUUUUUUUAAAUACUAGAGGCUUAAUAAAAGAAAAAGACAAACAAAUGAAUGUCAGACAAAUUUCUCAUGUUGUGCACCCAGGGGAUCACACAUACUCUCUCUCACACACAAUCACACACACACACAUACACUGAGAGAAACUUGGACUGAAUUUACACACACGCGCGCACACAAGCAACACCCAAAUACACACAUGUACACUUUGACGUAAAUACACGGGUACACCUCAGUACUCUGUGCAUCAUACUGUAUGUAUUUGUUGAUUACAAAGUUUUUACAAAGUCUUCGCUCACUCAGCUGCAUCUGCAGAAAGGUACGGCCCGCCAGACUUUUGUUCUCCAUGGAUAUUAUAUCAGAAUAAUUAUCUGCUCAUGUUAAUACAUUGGCUUGUAAAUGUUGUUUAGCAGUGUCCAUUGCAAAUGGUUGUGUAAUGUCUUGUAAUACUAAUAUAUUAUGUUUAUCGAAAAUGAAUAUAUUUAAUGACACAUGACAAAAAAAUGUGGCUUUUGUGGUGUUUUGCUGUCGAUCUUUUAUUUUUUACUUUUACAUUGGAUUUUAGACGGCUGUAAUGAAAAUGAUUGAUGCGUGUUUGGCUAUUGAACAGCUUAACAGACCUGAAAUUUAAUUUGAAAUAAAGCUGUGCAAAAAAAAAGAAAAGAAAAAGAAAAGAAAGAAAAACAAACAAAUGAGGAUCUGUUGCUGAAAUUGCAUGUUUAGCUCCUAUUUCCUCUUAUGAUCAAAAAGCUUCUUUUGCUAUCACGACACAACAACACAGUUCCUACUAUUUGUUUCAAGUUUCAGCUGCAACUGGAAACCACUUUGUAACAUGAAUUUUGCAUUGCAAGACAUAAGAAGAAGAAUCUAACACAAUAAAAUGUUCCUGAAAGUCCUGCCAAAUAUAAAAUUGUAGAUUUUUCCAUUCUGGUAACACUCUAGAUUACAG
ensembl:lncRNA